rnacentral:lncRNA from 1 species
AAAAAAAUAAAUAAAAAAAUAAAAAAAAUAUGUAACAAAUAUUGUUAAAAAAAGUGUUUUGAGUUUCCCUCUUGGGGUACCAUUUUUGGGUAUUUCCCUAUGAGCGUAGUCCAGGCGGUAAGACAUUGACAUAUUAAGGGACUAGAAAGGGAAAAUGAACUUAAUUAAUAACAUUUGAUAAAUAUGGUAUAUAGAUAACCAAUUUGAAGACAUAAAAGUUAAAUUCAUAAAAGUUUGACCAUUGUUACUUUACGUUGUCAUGGUCGUGACGUGACGUUGUUGAUGAAAUACAGUAGUUCCGGUAAGGAGGCGGGGC